ACUGAGCACAGCUCACCCAUCAGCAGGCUUGUUAGAGAGAGCAGUCUCCUGCCUGCUAUCUUUCAAGUCAUAGAGGAGCACCAGAAUAACACAGUCGGCAGCACGAUGCAGAACGCCAUGGCUCUCCUCUGCAAUCUGAUUGGACAGGAGGGCACAGACCUCCGACCAUUCUACCAGC